rnacentral:lncRNA from 1 species
GCUGUAUGUGAGUUCAAUAUAGGCUCCAAAGUCUGUUUUUGAACACACAGAAAGGCUGAAGUUAUCCUAGGAGGCAUUGUGAAACCUUUAAAAUAAAAGAAAAUUUAAAUAGAAUCAAUUUAAAUCAAUUUUACUUUUAAAAAUUUAAAAAUUCAUGUGCAGUACUUUUAAGAAAUGGGAAGAAUGCAAAAAUGAGCCAUCUGCAGCUUCCCAGAGAGACGACGAAACCCUGUUGUUCCUUGAACAGGGUAGGGAUGAGGCAGAAUCUAGACUGGCAGCAAACUGGAAAAAGCUGAAGUUUGCAUCCCAGUUCUACCCUUGAUUUACUGCCUGGUGA